CCUACGGGUGGCAGCAGUGGGGAAUAUUGGACAAUGGGGGGAACCCUGAUCCAGCCAUGCCGCGUGUGUGAAGAAGGCCCUCGGGUUAUAAAGCACUUUCAGUGAGGAAGAACGCCUGGUGGUUAAUACCCAUCAGGAAAGACAUCACUCACAGAAGAAGCACCGGCUAACUCCGUGCCAGCAGCCGCGGUAAUACGGAGGGUGCGAGCGUUAAUCGGAAUUACUGGGCGUAAAGCGCGCGUAGGUGGCUUGAUAAGCCGGUUGUGAAAGCCCCGGGCUCAACCUGGGAACGGCAUCCGGAACUGUCAAGCUAGAGUGCAGGAGAGGAAGGUAGAAUUCCCGGUGUAGCGGUGAAAUGCGUAGAGAUCGGGAGGAAUACCAGUGGCGAAGGCGGCCUUCUGGACUGACACUGACACUGAGGUGCGAAAGCGUGGGUAGCAAACAGGAUUAGAUACCCUGGUAGUC
rnacentral:rRNA from 1 species